rnacentral:lncRNA from 1 species
UUUUGUGUAGAACUGUUUUUAUUUUUCCUAUGUUACAGGAAACAGAUACAUGACAAACUAGCUGAGCAGUUGGUCCACUAGUUGAGUCAGCCAACCCAAGUCUGCCAGUCCAGUCAGCCAGUCCAAGUCAACCAGUCAAGUCAGCCAGCCAAACCAACCAGUACACUCCCCCAUCCCAGUCAACUAGUCCAGUAAGCCAGCCCAAGUUACACAGUCCAGACAGCUAGUUCUCCAGUUAACCAGUCCAAGUCAGUCAGUCCAGCUAACCAGCCCAAUUUAACCAAACCAGUCAACUGCUCAAGUCAACUAUACCAAUCAACCAGGCCGGUCAACUACCCAAGUCAACUAGACUACUGUCAAGUUCAACCAUUCCUGUCUUGAUGAUGACAGAUACAAUACACAUUACCCAUCGAAUCAGUUGGGCACUUGAGCCACUAGCCAACCAACCCAGUCAAAUCAGGCAACUAGCUCUGCCAACUCACCAAACAGCCAGGCAGCCAACCAAGUAACUUCUUCCUCUAAAUACCCUGCAAGCCUUUUUAUAAAGAUCUGAUAACAGUCAGUCAAUGAUGCAGCUAGUUCAGCCAUUGAUCUCUUGGAAAUCAUUUCUUUGACAACCAACCAUUAUGGAAGUCAUAUACUUGAUAAGUUUCCCUACAGCUAUAUUUUUACUGAUGUGACAAAUACAACAAUCAUACUGUGUAGAUUCUAUCUGGCGUCCUA